CAAGGCUAANUACNUGCACGAGUCCGAUAGCGAACAAGUACCGUGAGGGAAAGUUGAAAAGUACUUUGAAGAGAGAGUAAACAGUGCGUGAAACCGCUCAGAGGUAAACGGGUGGAGUUGAACUGCAAGCUCUGAGGAUUCAGCUGGUGAGUUUGGCAUGAGCUUGGUCAUGUGGGUUGUGUGUUCGGGUCUGCUUAGCUGCAGGUCCUCGCCUUUGGUGGGGAUGCGCGUAUCGCUUAUCAAGCGUUGUGCGCCCGUUCUUCUCGGACCUGCUCGCCAGUGCACUUUCUCAGAGUGUUCACCACGACCGGCGUUGUCGUCUGGCUGGGUGCGGUUAAACCGGCCUUGUAGGGUCCUUGUGGCCUUGCCUGGUCGGGAUGGCAGGUAGCCCGUUGUGUACUUUCGGUGUGCUUCGGGUGUAAUAGCCGACUGCAUCGGUUCUGUGCGAUACGUCGGAGACGGCGGCUUGUUGUGCGUGCGGGCGUGCCUGUUGCGCUGGCGGCUCUGGGUCUGGUUGCCUUGUUGCUUGUAAAUGCAAGCCAGGUGAUGGCCUGGGGUCGUUUGGUGUGCGGUUGCGUUCGUGGCACUUUAAAGGGCCUACAGUCUGUGGUGUAGUGGUAGACUAUCCACCUGACCCGUCUUGAAACACGGACCAAGGAGAGUAACAUGUGCGCGAGUCAUUGGGCGUUACGAAACCCAAAGGCGAAGUGAAAGUAAAGGUUC
rnacentral:rRNA from 1 species